rnacentral:rRNA from 1 species
UACGGAGGGUGCAAGCGUUGUUCGGAAUCACUGGGCGUAAAGCGCGUGUAGGCGGUCUGUUAAGUCUGAUGUGAAAGCCCGGGGCUCACCCCCGGAAGUGCAUUGGAAACUGACAGACUGGAGUCCCGGAGAGGAGGGUGGAAUUCCUGGUGUAGCGGUGAAAUGCGUAGAUAUCAGGAGGAACACCGGUGGCGAAGGCGGCCCUCUGGACGGUGACUGACGCUGAGACGCGAAAGCGUGGGGAGCGAACCGG